rnacentral:lncRNA from 1 species
CCUAAAGCUAUUCGACUCAUCACUCCUCUCAAACCUCCAAGUCCCCAAAGCUCCUUCGAAGCACCAAGAAGAAGAAGAAGAAAGAAGAGAGAUGGCCAUUUCAAGGAGCGGCAAGAUGAACGGUGGAGGCAUGUCGCGGAGGAUCUCGAGCCGUCCCAUCCCGAAGAGAGGGCAAGUGAAGGUGGGGAUCGUGGUGGGAUUGGCUCAUUCCGUUGCCUCCAUCUUCUCCCUCCACCUCAGAAACAGAUCUGCUCAGUUUUCUCGGUGACAAAGCACGAGGGAGAGAGAUGGGCGUUGUGCUGCUGUUUUUCCUUAGUAGUGUUUUUGGAGAUCGUAAGAAGAACGGUUUGGUGAUGUAAUUAAGAGGCUUUUUCUCUUCAAUUUUGUACAAAUCGUUGUGGAAGGAAAUAUAAUUUUGCAGAUGAUUUAUGGAUUUCUCCUCCUCUAUUCCUCUGGUUGAGCAAAGUAGUUGACAUUCAUGUACAUCGAACGAUAUUUCAUCAACACAAUAGCCGAUAUGAUCUCAAGCUUUGCUCUAAUUAGGUUUUCUUCUUCUUGUUUCUCGGUCCGAGAAGGAGGGAUGGGUGUUGGGUUGCUGUUUUUCGUGGUUAGUGUUAACCACGUUGUUGGGAAACUUAGGAAGAACGGUUUGGUCUGGUGAGUAAGGUGUUUGCCAUUUUCAUUUCCUACAAAUUUUUGCAGAACGAAAUAGUUUUGAUUUAAGGCUCUCUCUGUGUUGAGAAACAGAGUAGUUGACGUUCAUGUACAUCUGACCAGAUUUCAUCAAACAAAGUACCCGAUAUGUUCUCAAGGUUCGCUCUAAUUAGGAAUCGUAUUGUGAUUCAAACUCGAAUAUUCUCAACCCCAAUACAUUGGUUGACCAAUCAGUCAAAUCCUUGAUCAAAGUUUUGAAUGUCAACUCCACAUAAUCCAAAUUCCACUUAAGUGCCUUUCUUGGGUCUAUUGUUUCUGGAGAGCUGAAUAAUAAUGGGAAAAUGGCACAUCUGACCAUGUCUUUACCCAAACUCAUUACAAUCUCAAGAGAAUGUUACGUAUAUUAAGAUCCGUAUAUGAAUUUGGUACGUAGAGUCAUGCGCCGGGUUAAGAGUGGACAUUUAAAUAAGUGGGCCAACUUCAAUACUCAAUUACAGGUUACCAUAUAUAUCAUAUCAAUUUUGUAAUCGAAAUUCAGUAGACAUCGCAUUUCUCAUGAACAAGAAGACAAUAUGACAAGCGCAAAACUAGGAGUGUGCAGGAGGGGCAUCAUCAUUGCUGGUACGAUUCUGCAAUUACGAAAUGCGUCCAUCUAGCAUUUUGAGAAUAUGCUAAUUAGGACCUUCAAUGCUAUGGCAAGGCUGUGAUGAUCGAUUUAUGUCAAUUUCGAACUUUUUAUUUUGUGGGGGCGAUAACUUUAUAAGUGAACGAUCAUGACGGAUAUGAUAGCUACUUGAUUCGCUAGAGAAAAGAGCUCAGGAUGAGGCAAAGGCGGCAUUCACAUUUGCAGGAACAUUCUUAAUUUGCAUAGGAGUGGAUUAAUGUUGAUGGUAGCUAGGUGAGUUAAGCCAGAGAGAGGUAGAGAGAAGGGAGACAAAAAAGAAACAUUUUAUACAUAGCCUACAGGGAAACUUUGCAGAUUUAGGUGCUAGUAUAGGGCUUAAAUAUUAAAAUUACACAAGAUUAGACACAAAUCGGAUUUUCCAGUAGACACAAUCCGACAGGAACUGCAUUCCACCUAACGUUUUUUUAUUUUUAUUUGAGCAAACACCUAAGGUUCAUUGAACAUGUUUUGCUUCUUGUUCAAUCAGCGUUCACAACCACUAAUAAUCUACAUAAUCGAGGUUAGUGUACGUUUAAUUUUUAAUUAGAUUAAUCCGUACCUUUCCUUCUUUUUAAUUGAUGAUUCUGCCCCUUACUUUAAUUUCUAAUUUGACAUCUUUAAAUUCUUUAAUUCAAUAUUAACUACAUUAAGUGGAGUGUCACAUGGAUCAUGUGAAAAGAAGAAUGAUGCUAGUUCUUCUCCCCCAGUUAUCAUAUUAGAAAGGAGGUUACAUUCCCAUAAUCUCAAUCAUUUAGAGAAUUUUUCUUAAUGUGUGUGUAUAUUAUAUGCCGUAUAAUGAAAAGCUACUCAAGACAGAAUAAGAUGUGGGGAAGACAUCUACGUAAGAUUUGGUCGAAGAAGUUGACUCAUAUUUGACUGAAUUAGGUAAGACAUGAGACAUGUUUCUAUCUUACGGACUGAAUUAGGUAAGACAUGAGACAUGUUUCUAUCUUACGUUUGAAUUAACAUUUUUCAGACAUCGUUCGCUUUGACCAAAGAACAAGAAAAAAAUAAAAAAAGUCAGUGUUCACAUUUGGUUUGCGCUCAGCCAACCAAGAAAUAAUAAAGAAUUCAAGGAAAAAAAUGGUGGGUGGAGAUCAUGGAGUAAAGGAUAUGGGUUGGACCGUCUCGGCGGACCCCAUGUCUAUCAUGACUUCCAUCAACCGGUCAAAACUUUUGAAACAAAAGCAAAGAAUCGUAUUUGAUAAAUUCUAAUCAAACAAAAGCAAAAAAGAGUAACCAAAAAAGAGAAAGUAAUAAAGCUACAAAGAGACAAGAAGAUGCCUGGCCCAUCACUCAUUACUUUAACUAAUAAAUUUAGAUUAAUUAUUGUAAUAUAAUAUGAAGCAUUCGGCAGAUUUAAAGGUGCUGCCAUCACUGAAUAGAGUUCAUAUACUCUUUAAAUUACAAAAGAUAGCGGAAGACACCUUCUAGAAAAAAAAAUACAUAUUAGUGAUUCGAAUUAGAUUUAACUCUCUUUCUCUAUGAAUGCUAGCUAUAUUUACUGAUAAGACAGCUUGAAAAAAGGUAUACCUAAAAUUUUAAAUCAUUUGUACGGUAUUUAAUUUAACGUCGCAAUUUUUCAAUCGCUCAUUUGAACUCUUCAGCUUUCAAAUUUCAUUAAUUUAAAUUACAUACAUACCACACAAUAUCGAUUUCAUUAUCAAAAUAAUGCCACAAAAAUGGAUUGAAAUGAAUGAUUUUGAGGUUCUAGUUUAUUUUCCCCUUGAUCUAUGGGUACCAACUUUUGAGUCUCAGAAAAUUUCAGGAAAAGAGACCAAAAACAGAAAAGAAUAGUAGAGUGGACACCACCAAGGAUGAGGCCAAAAAUUAAUAGCCACCUCCCAAUGAGUGCGUCACGGGGGGGUGCACCGGCCACGUCAUGAACAAACCCCCACGUGAACAAUGUGAACCUGAAUUAUUGCAAUAAUGCGUGCAGAAGUGGUGUCCUUUCACGAUCUCCACUUGCCUAACUUCAUGGACGAAAUCAUCCCCUUCCUCAUUACUAUUUCUCUUAAACUAAAAAAAAUCCAUAUUAUUAGGUUUACUCAAUCGCAUGGCAAUUAAAAUUAUGAAUACAAGUAUAAGUAUAUGAGAUUCCGAACUUUUUGCAUUGUGAUUAAUUCUAUUCAUAACGUCGGCUAUAUAGUGAAUUUGUUAAAUUUUGUUUGAUCAUGUUGCGAACUUACAAAGUGUUUCUUCCUUGAUUUAAAAAUGAAAAUUGACGUUGUUUGUACUGGUUCCCAUUUUCUAGAACAUGCCCAAUUUAUUAUUUUGUGUAAAAAACGUCAAAGUUUAAUAAAUUUACUUCAUUUCCUUACAAAAGCAUAUGUUGCAUAAAUGAUUAUGCUAUUUUUUAUUCAUGUCGAAAAUUACAAUUUGAUUUUUGUUAGAUGCGGGAGUCUUUUUUAUUUUCUAAAAGAAGCUUCAAAACAAGUUUAAUGCGGGAAUUAAAUCAAUUGAACCAAUUUAGACCAAUUCCCAGAUGAAUCGGUGAUUCCAACCUUGGAACCAGACGAAAUGGCCUAACACUGAUAGGUUCGUGGAGUUAGGAACAAAAUCGAUUCAAUGCCAGUUCUCUCUAGAAUUGAUCUAUAUAGCCGACCUCGACCCGAUUGGGUUUGGCUCAAUUCACUUCCGUUCCCAAAUCAAACCAAACUUGAUGUCCACCCCCAUUAACUUUUACCGUCGCUUUCUUAAGAAGACAAAAUCUAGAGUGUAUUCACCUCACAAUUGUAGCAGCAAGGGAAAUGAAAUGUUCAAUGUUACAAUGUUAGUGGCAAGUGGUGUGCUAUUUUUGAUCCAACAAUCUCACCUUUAAAUCAUCUUAAACAUGGUGCGACAUUUCCGUACUUGGUAACAUGGACAAUUUUGGAUUUAUUUAGGUAAUACUUUUUGUGUAUUAUUAAUGAUUUGUUUAGACAAUAUGAGAGUUGGCGGGCGAGGUCAAAAACGUCAAAUAGACGAGCUCAAGGGCAAGGGGCCUCACUUCAAUUAUAAUGAAUUUGAAGGGCAUAUUGGAAAAAGUUGUUCUCUAUAUAAUACAACCGAUCACCGGAAAGCAAAGGCAAGCGUUCGCUAAAGCUUUCCAAUACAUCCCUCCUCUCAAACCUCAAACCUCAAACCCAAAAGCUUCUUCGAAGAUCUCAUUUCAUCUUCAGCGGAACGAUUUGAAGCACCGAGAAGAAGAAGAAGAAGAAGCAGAGAGAUGGCGAUCUCAAGGAGUGGCGAGAUGAACGGCGUAGGCGUUUCGGGGAGGAUUUCGAGCCGUCCGAUCCCGAAGAGAGGGCAAGUGAAGGUGGGGAUCGUGGUGGGGUUGGCUCAUUCUGUCGCUUCCAUCUUCUCUCUCAGUCUCCGGAAUAGGCGUGCUCAGUUUUCUUAGGGACCAACCACUUUCCAUAAGUUCUCUUCUUCUAGAGAGAGAGGGAGAGAGAUGGGAGUUGUGUUGCUGUUUUUCCAUGGUAGUGUUCUUGGGAAUCUCUGGAAGGACGGUUUUGUCUUGUAAUUAAGAGGGUUUUCUUUUUGAGUUUGUACAAAUUUUUGCAGAACGAAAUAUAAUUUUGCAGAUGAUUUGCGGUUCUCUCUUUCUCUCUCGUUGAGCAACAAAGUAGUUAAUAUUCAUUUACAUCGGCUGAUGUGAUCUCAAGCUUGCUCUGAUUAGGAGUUGUGUUGUGAUUCAAACUCGAAUCUCCUCGACUCCGGUACAUCGGACUCGACGAAAGCAAAGCAGAGGAGUGACGGUGAUGGUAGCUAGGGCAGUUUAACCGGAGAAACGUAGGUAUGUGUUUAAGAAUGAAAGCAAGCAAUUCUGGCAUGAAUCCUGAGCAUGAACAACUUGCUCAGAAGGAAUGCGAAGAGGUAGUCCGACGAGGACUAAUUGAAUCGACAGAUUCUUAGUGGGUAUGCAAAACCUUUUACAUCAACAAGCAAGUUGAGCAAACCAGAUGUUCUCAACUACCAGCCUUUGAAUCAAUUUCUCCAUGAUGACAAGUUACUUUUGCCAAACAAAAAGACCUUAUCAUCCGGCCUUUCUGAUGCCAAGAUAUACUCCGACUUUUUGGGCAAGAUUUUGGCAAUCCUUUCAUUUGGUCUCGAGACUGCACCAUCAUUGUUCCAGAAAGCGAUAUGCAAGAGGAGUAAUAUGACUUGCGCACAGCUGGAAUUUAUCUCUACAAUCGGGCCGCUCUAGUCCAAAAGCUUGUGAUGAUUCUACCUUAGAUGAUGGAGAUCGUGCCCCAAACCUUCAAUCUCAUCAUGAACGUUUCAAUCAGUGUCCUGUGGGACAAGGUUCAUUGCAUUUGCUCAAGGCGGCCGAGAAACUUUUAUUAUUGUCCAUUCAUCUUAUAAGAGUAUCUUGUGAAUGCACGUGUGAUCGUGUCUUUAUAAUACGAUGUGGUCGUGUCUUUAUAAUACGAUGUGUUAUUGUCUUGAAAGCGCAUCUUUUAGAUUGGCUCCACCUAUAUAAGAGCGACUUCUCCUGAAAGUUGAAUGAGACCAGAGUUUGAGAAAAUCUCUAGUUCAUAUACACUCUUUAUGGCUUUUUGAACACUUUUUUUUCUCUUCAUCAAAUUCUAAUGUCAUCAAAAGCUUAAGAUUAUUCUCCACUUGUUUCUUUAUGGAUCAAAGAGCUUGAGACCUGAGAUAUUUAUGAUAUAAAUUAAUAGUUUAUGGAGACUAAGAUGCAGUCCCAUAUAAGCCCAAGAAAAGGGCCGUGUGUGUUGCGUGAUAGUGUAUCUGCCUCUAAAUGCUUUAAGUUUAUACCAUAGACUCCUCAUUGGUAAUAUGAUUUUGUCGGGGGCUGUCGAUUACAAACAAUUGAAGGGAAUUAUGAUGAAAACAUUGUCUUUGGGGAAACUCUGUAGAUUCAUGUGCAAUUGUAGGGCUUAAAUUUUAAAAUUAAACAUGAUUUGAUCCAAAUCUUAUUCCCACCAGGCAUAAUCCGGCACAAACUGCAAAGAUGUCCCCAGCAUAUACAGUUCAACAAACAAUUCCAGCUAAGAUUCAUUGAACAUGUUUUCCUUCUUGUUCAAUCAGUGUUUAGAACCACCAAUAAUUUAUAUGAUCUGGGUUAGAGCAUGUCUAAUUUCUAAUUAGAUUAAUCCCUUCCUGUCCUCCCUGACUAUAAUUGAUGAUUCUGCCCUUUACUUUUAGCAAUAAAGAAAGAGAACGGUAACAACUUUGAGAUCUUCAAGUUCUUUGAUUAAAUCUCUCUCUCUCUCUCUCUCUCUCUCUCUCUCCCCAUUAUUCAUGGAGAUGUAAGGAAAACUGCAUCUCUGUAUAAAUUAAUAUCUACAAAUUUAAGUGAAGUAUCACAUGGGUCAUGUGAAAAGAAAAAUGAUGCCGAUUCUUUUCCAACAAUUAGCAUAAUUAGAUUGGAGGUCACGUUUACAUGAUCUCAAACAAUUUGAAAUUUUUUUAAUGUCCCUAUUGCACAUCAAUUUAUAUAAUUCCUUAUUGGUCGAGGAAUUUGCCUAAUUGGACUUGUUAUAAUUAAAUUAGCUACAUAAUAAUAAUAGAAACCUACUUAGGACAGAAUAAGAGAUAAGACGUGUUACAAUCUUACCCCCUUUUUUUUCGGUCGAAUGUUGCAAUCUUACAUUGGAAUUGACAUUUUCAAAGACAAUGUUCACUUUGACCAAAGAAAAGAAAUUAAAAAAGAAGAAGUCAGUGUUCACAUUUGGUUUGGCUUUUAGCCAACCCAAAAAAAUUCUUUACGAGUUUCCUCAAUGUGAAACCGAAUUUAAAUAAUAAAGAAUUAUGAAAAAAUAUUGGGGGGUGAGAUUUUGGAGUAGAGGGCAUAGUUGGUCCGUCUUGGGGACCCCAUAUCGAUCACGACUUCUGUCAGCCGGUCAAAGACUUUCAAAACAAAAACCCACGUGUUCUUGAAGCACGUCACAGGACAACAGAAGCAUUUCUGAUUGCUUUUAAUCCAACAAAAGUAAAAGCAAAUGAAUAAAUGAAUAAAAGUAAUAAAGCUACUAAGAGAAAGUGAUUCCUGGUCCAUCACCCAAUCUACUUCACCUAAUAAAUUCACAUCAUUUUAUUCACAAAAACUAGCUGUAUUCGGCAGAUUUGAAAGUGCAGCCAUCGCAGAAUAAUGUUUAUGCUUCUUAAACUUAAAAAAAAGAAAGAAACAUUAUUUAUAAGUGUUUUUAUUCAUUAAAGUUGUACUAUCCUCUAUUCUGGUGACGAUAAUAUCACAAAAAACUCUUACUUAUAAAAGUUAAAAAUGUCGUUUGCAGCUCAAACAAUAAGGUAAAUCAUGCAGAGGAAGAUAACAAAUUAUUUUGCUUAAAACGUAAGUCCUCAAUGAACGAAGUAAUCGACAAAUUAUAUGACUUAUUUGUAGUACAAGAUGACGAUUCAACAAGGAAAAAGAAAUGUUAAACUUACAUUGCCAACGCCAAAGUGUGCAAUUUUUAAUCCAACCAUCUCACCUUUCUAUCAUCUUAAUCAUCAGGUGACAUUUACGUAAUUGGUUACGUAAGCAAUUCUAGGAUUUAUUGAGUAAGCGAUUUGUUUAUACAAUGUGGGAAUUGGUGGGCGAGGUCAAACAUCAAAAUAGACGAGUUCAAAAGCAAAGGGCCUCCCUUCAAUUAUAAUAAAUUUGAAGGGCAUAUUGGAAAAAGUUCCGUCUCUAUAUAAGAACCCGUCACCACGAAGGCCGAGUGUUAACUAAAGCAUUUCAACACAUUACUCCUCUCGAACUCUAGAUCUAAAAGCUCUNNNNNNNNNNNNNNNNNNNNNNNNNNNNNNNNNNNNNNNNNNNNNNNNNNNNNNNNNNNNNNNNNNNNNNNNNNNNNNNNNNNNNNNNNNNNNNNNNNNNAGAGAGAGAAAGGAAGAGCGAUGGCGAUUUCAAGGAGUGGCGAGAUGAACGGUGGAGGCAUGUCGCGGAGAUUUUUGAGCCGUCCGAUACCCAGGAGAGGGCAAGUGAAGGUGGGGAUUGUGGUGGGGUUGGCUCAUUCUUUUGUCUCCAUCUUCUCUCUCCAUCUCAGAAACAGAUCUGCUCAGUUUUCUCGGUGACCAAGCACUCGCCAUAAGUUUUCUUCUUCUUCUAGAGAGAGAGAGAGAGAAAAAUGGGUUUUGUAUUGCUGUUUUUCCUGGUUUUUGUUUUUUGCAGAUCUUAGGAAGAACGGUCUUGUAAUUAAGAGUUUUUUCUUUUUACUUUUGUACAAAUUUUUGCAGAUCGAGAUAUAAUUCUGCAGAUGAUUUACGGUUCUCUCUCUUUUGAGCCACAAAGUAGUUAAAAAUUCAUUGAUCAACGAAGUAGCCGAUAUGAUCUCAGGCUUUGCUGUAAUUAGGAGUUGUGUUAUGAUUCAAACUCAGAUUUUCUCAACUCCAGUACAUUAAUUGACCAUCAAGUGAAGCCCAUGAAAAAUUUUGAGUCUGUAAAAAUAUUGAGGCUUUACAUACCACAUCCACACAGUAACGAUUUCAUUAUCAAGAUAAUGCCACGGAAAUGGAUUGAAAUGAAUGAUUUUGAGGGUCUAGUUUAUUUUCCCCUUGAUCUAUGGGUACCAACUUUUGAGUCUGUAAAAAUUUCAGGAAAAGAGACCAAAAACAGAAAAGAAAAGUAGAGUGGACACCACCAAGGAUGAGGCCAAAAAUUAAUAGCCACCUCCCAAUGAGUGCGUCACGGGGGGGUGCACCGGCCACGCCAUGAACAAACCCCCGCGUGAACAAUAUGAACCUGAAUUAUUGCAAUAAUGCGUGCAGAAGUGGUGUCCUUUCACGAUCUCCACUUGCCUAACUUCAUGGGACGAAAUCGCCCCCUUCCUCAUUACUAUUUCUUUUAAACUAAAAAAAGUCCAUAUUAUUAGGUUUACUCAAUCGCAUGGCAAUUAAAAAUAUAAAUACUAGUAUAAGUAUAUGAGAUUUCGCACUUUUUGCAUUGUGAUUAAUUCUAUUCAUAAUGUUGUCUAUACAGUGAAUUCGUUAAAUUUUGUUUGAUCAUGCUGUGAACUUACAAGGUGUUUCUUCCUUGAUUUGGAAAUGGAAAUUGACCUUGUUUGUAUGGGUUCCCAUUUUCGAGAACAUGCCCAAUUUAUUAUUUUGUGUAAAAAACAUAAAAGUUUAAUAAGUUUACUUCAUUUCCUUACAAAAGCAUAUGUUGCAUAAAUGAUUAUGUUAUUUUUUAUUCAUGUCGAAAAUUAUGGGUUGAUUUUUGUUGGAUGUGAGAGUCUUCUUUAUUUUCUAAAAGAAGCUUCAAAACAAGUUUGAUGAGGGAAUUAAAUCAAUUGAACCAGUUUAGAUCGAUUCUCAAUUGAAUCUAUGAUUCCAACCUUGAAACCGGACGAAACAGCCUAAUAUUGACAGGUUUGUGGAGUCGGGAACAAAAUCGAUUCAAUGCCGGUUCUCUCUAGAAUCGGUCUAUAUAGCCGACCUUGAUCUAGUUGGGUUUAGUUCAAUUCACUUCCAUUCCCAAAUCAAACCAAACUUGAUGUCCACCCCCACUAACUUUUACCGUCGCUUUCUCAAGAAGACAAAAUCUAUAGUAUAUUCACCUCAUAAUUGUAGCAGCAAGGGAAAUGAAAUGUUCAACGUUACAUUGCUAGGGCCAAGUGGUGUGCUAUUUUUGAUCCAACAGUCUCACCUUUAAAUCAUCUUAAUCAUGGUGCGACGUUUCCGUACUUGGUAACAUGGACAAUUUUGGAUUUAUUUAGGUAAUACUUUUUGUGUAUCAUUAAUGAUUUGUUUAGACAACAUGAGAGUUGGUGGGCGAGGUCAAAAACGUAAUAGACGAGCUCAAAUGCAAGGGGCCUCACUUCAAUUAUAAUGAAUUUGAAGGGCAUAUUGGAAAAAGUCGUUCUCUAUAUAAUGCAGCCGAUCACCGGAAAGCAAAGGCAAGCGUUCGCCAAAGCUUUCCAACACAUCCCUCCUCUCAAGCCUCAAACCUCAAACCCAAAAGCUUCUUCGAAGAUUCCAUUUCAUCUUCAGCAGAACGAUUUGAAGAACCAAGAAGAAGAAGCAGAGAGAUAGCUAUCUCAAGGAGUGGCGAGAUGAACGGCGUAGGCGUUUCGGGGAGGAUUUCGAGCCGUCCGAUCCCGAAGAGAGGGCAAGUGAAGGUGGGGAUCGUGGUGGGGUUGGCUCAUUCUCUCGCUUCCAUCUUCUCUCUCAGUCUCCGGAAUAGGCGUGCUCAGUUUCCUUAGUGACCAGCCACUUUCCAUAAGUUCUCUUCUUCUAGAGAGAGAGGGAGAGAGAUGGGUUUUGUGUUGCUGUUUUUCCUUGGUAGUAUUCUUGGGAAUCUCAGGAAGGACUGUUUUGUCUUGUAAUUAAGAGGUUUUUCUUUUUGAGUUUGUACAAAUUUUUGCAGAACGAAAUAUAAUUUUGCAGAUGAUUUACGGUUCUCUCUCUCUCUCGUUGAGCAACAAUGUAGUUAAUAUUCAUUUACAUCGGCUGAUGUGAUCUCAAGCUUGUGAUCUCAAGCUUGCUCUGAUUAGGAGUUGUGUUGUGAUUCAAACUCGAAUCUCCUCCACUCCAGUACAUCGGACUCGACGAAAGUAAAGCAGAGGAGUGAUGGCGAUGGUAGAUAGGGGAGUUUAAUCGGAGAAAAGUAG